rnacentral:rRNA from 1 species
AGCGGCGGACGGGUGAGUAACGCGUGGGUAACCUGCCCUGUACACACGGAUAACAUACCGAAAGGUAUGCUAAUACGAGAUAAUAUACUUUUAUCGCAUGGUAGAAGUAUCAAAGCUUUUGCGGUACAGGAUGGACCCGCGUCUGAUUAGCUAGUUGGUAAGGUAACGGCUUACCAAGGCGACGAUCAGUAGCCGACCUGAGAGGGUGAUCGGCCACAUUGGAACUGAGACACGGUCCAAACUCCUACGGGAGGCAGCAGUGGGGAACAUUGCACAAUGAGCGAAAGCCUGAUGCAGCAACGCCGCGUGAACGAUGAAGGCCUUCGGGUCGUAAAGCUCUGUCCUCAAGGAAGAUAAUGACGGUACUUGAGGAGGAAGCCCCGGCUAACUACGUGCCAGCAGCCGCGGUAAUACGUAGGGGGCUAGCGUUAUCCGGAAUUACUGGGCGUAAAGGGUGCGUAGGUGGUUUCUUAAGUCAGAGGUGAAAGGCUACGGCUCAACCGUAGUAAGCCUUUGAAACUGGGAAACUUGAGUGCAGGGGAGGAGAGUGGAAUUCCUAGUGUAGCGGUGAAAUGCGUAGAUAUUAGGAGGAACACCAGUUGCGAAGGCGGCUCUCUGGACUGUAACUGACACUGAGGCACGAAAGCGUGGGGAGCAAACAGGAUUAGAUACCCUGGUAGUCCACGCCGUAAACGAUGAGUACUAGCUGU